AGGUUUGUCCUCCUCCUUGGGGUUCCGUUGACGUUGGGGAGAUGCGUUUUCUCCUGAUUGGGCUUGGGCCUGGACCUGGGCUGCGUAGAUUGGGUGGAGACGUUCCCUGAGACACGAAGCGCAAACGCCGAUGGUGCUGGUGAGGUCAGGUAAGUGCUUCUUACACCUCAUUGUUGCUUUUUAUUUAAAAAUACGACACCGUUUCUUGUUUUAUAUCUUGGUUCUAGCAAUUGUGUCGUUGCGAGUUAGGAGAGAAAAGAAAAAGCGAAGGAUCUGACGAUGAAUUUAAAGAAAAAGCUUUGUCUUGUUCUUGCAAACACAAAUAAAAAAUAGAGAAUGAAAAAUCGGAAUAAUAAGAGAAAAAAAAAAAAGAUAAAGAGAGAGAAAGAGAGGGUCAAAGAAAGUUACUUGGCAUGAUGGAAAAAGAUGGAUGACCAGCUUUGUUAACAAGUUGGAUAAGGAAAGGCUUUGCUUUAUUACAACUCCCCAUUCUGGUAUCUCUUAUUAUUAUCCGUUAAUCUUCCUUAAUUUAUUCAUCAAAAUUACUAUAUUUCAUAAACUCAUACCAUAACUGUCACAACUAAUUCCUCUUCCUUCAUCCAAAUAUCCUUAUUUAUUCAUUAAUGCUCAUUAAACCCAUUUAUUACAUAUCAUUAAUACUCUUUACUUACUCCUUAAAUAAACAUUUCUUUUUCAUUUUCCACCUUUUUACAAUAUUUUCGUUUUUCUAAUUAUUAAUAUUUAGAAUCAUCAGAAAGGUGUUGACUUUUGAUUAGAUGUUUAGGAUAAGAUAAUUAUAAUGAUUAAUUGAUGUAAUGUUUUGUCUCGCUGGUUUUCCUGGUUUUCGAUCAGAUAAGAAAUAGUUGGUUUUUUAUAAUCGAUCAUCUCUCAUUUUUAAUUACAUCUUCGUGAGAUUUCUUAACGUGUAUUUGCUAGUUUUUUUAAACUAGAUUAGAAAAUUAUAAAUUUAAUUUAUUUUACUAUAACUUUUCAUUACUUUAAAAAUAAAUUAAUUAAUUAAACAAUCUCAUAUUUAAUUAAUAGUUGAUUAAUUACCAAGUCUAUUAUUCCUUAUUUAUACCUGACCGGUGUUUUGCGGAGAACCAGAAUUUGUUGACUUUUUAUUUAAUAGUAAUCUUUUAAGAUAAACGUAUUUCGAAUUUACAGGUCUUUAAGUCAAAAAAACAAGAUUUUUUUUUUAUAAUUACGUUCAGACACAUAUGUGUACGGUAAGGUGAAUUUGUUUAUUUAUUAUCUAAUCAAGAAAUUACUGAAUAUAAUAAAUUUAUUAAUAUUUAAACUGUUAUUCCAAAAUUAUAUUAAUAAUACAAUUUUAUUAUAAUAACUUAUGAAUUAAACUAUAAAAAUUUAAACAAAUUUGUGAAUUAUUUAAAUUUUCAUUUUUCAGUUUUUUACUAAAGGUGUUCUGGUUGGACGUGAACUUGAAUAACUUAGCUUCUGUUUGAACCUUCAAGGUGACGUAAAUUUGUUGGACCUAGUCGUCUUUAAAUAAUUAAUUUAAAAAAUUGAUUUUUUAACCAAAUCAAAAGAUUAUUAAACAUGUACUUAGUCUUAUUUUUAUUUUUUUUCUAAUAUAUUAGUGUUCUUACGUUGUUUCAUACACUAAUUUUGAAAUUAAUUUGAUGAAAUUUAAUAUUAUUAUUAUUAUGAAAUUAAAUAAAAGACAGUUUGUUGUAUAGUAUUAUUGGAGUAGCAAACGAAUUACAUUUUUAACGAAGAGAAGUAUAGUUGCAGUAUGAUUAUAAUGAUACUUUAUGAUUCUCUUUUUCCGAAAAUAUCGGAAUCCUCUCUUUGAAAUUAUUGUGCUUCAAACUUUACUUUGUAAUAAUGAGAAUAAAUGUCUACAAGAUAUUUAUCUUACCUUCUUUUCACUCAACAUAAAUAAGCUUUACAGCUUUAGACAAUGAAACAACACUGCAAAAAGAUAAAUAAAUUUUAGUACUUACUAUUAAUUGCUAAUGAUACUUAUGGAUUACCAAUUUCUUUUAUAAUUUGUCUAAAUAAAAGAAACUAGAGCGUAUAUUUUUUAAUUAAAAUUAAAGGAAAGAUAUAUAAUUUAGAAAUGUUACAUAACACAAUUUUUUGCAAAUUAACUUAUCUAAAACAAAUUUUAACUUAUUAAAGAAUUGAUUUUAUUUUUUUCUACUUUUUAUAAUUCCUUUUUCAUAAAAUUAAUUUCAAAUCCAAAAGAUUUCGUUUAGUUUCAAAAGUUAAUUUUCUUUAUUUAUAACUAUAUAUAGGGGAUAUGCUGUUUUGGUAUAAACAUUUAUGUAUAUCUUAUUUUAUUAUUAUAAUAAAUAUUUUCAUUAUUAUUAAUAUUUCUUUCAUAACUUUAUUUACAAUUUUUAAAUCACUUACAACCUUUAGUAACACAUUAUAUUCAUUAUUUAUUGUAUAAUCACUGUUAUCACUUUUGUUUUAUAUCAUAAAAGUAUGCCAAGAAAAUGUUUUUUUAAUAAUUUUUUAUAAUAUUUUUUUUUUUACAAUGCAUAAUUGUUAUUAGUCGAUUUUAAAUAAACAGAUGAAUAAAGUAACAAUAUGUAAUUUAUAGUUAAAAAGUUGUUAAAAAAAGUUGUUAAAAAAGUUGUUAACAUGUACUAAUAAAAGGGUGAUAUGAAAAGUAAGGAGCUGUAUUUAGAUUUUUAAAUUGAUGUACCUAAUUGGUUGGUGAGUUAUAAAUCACUAAAUUAAAAUAUUGCAAUUUAGGAGAAACAGAUGUGUAAAAAUUGGGAAAAAAAGGGAAAAAAAACUUUGCUAAAGUUUGUUUCUAUAACUUAACAUUUUAGGUUGUUUUUUACCAAACACUUAUAUUCCUUACUUUUAUCAAUAGUUGUUGGUUGGAAUUGAUACUUUAUUUGGUGUAAAUAGUUGUAGAUGUAGGUGUAAUGUGGAAAUAUUUUAACCUAUUCAAUUGGCAUUUUUACUUUUCAGAAAGAGGGUAAGUAUUUGAUAUGCAGUUAAUGCAAAUAAAGCCAUUUAUUUAUUAUGUGUAAGAACUUUUGUUUUAAUAUUGCAGGACACUAUUUAUUUUGUUUGUUAACCGACACAACCUUCGCAUUUACAAUACAACUAGAUUAAAAGAAAAAAAAGAAACAUUUCAAAUUUAUUAUUUAUUAUUUCUUAGAAAUUAAAAUAUGUUAUAUAUACAAUAAAACCCUUGUUUUAUUCACAUAUUCGAUUAGAUAUUUUUAAUGCUUUCCCCUUUCUUGUAAGCUUUGAUUAUGAUAAUUUAUAUGCUUACAAACCUUUAUUUGUUAUAUAUAUUUCAAAUGCACAAAUUUUUCUUUUAUAUCAUAUAUACCACUUGUUAAAAUAAUAAAAAUAUUAAAGAAAAUAUGGCAUCUAUUCAUUGGGUGAGAUUGUUUACCGUUGUCUAUCUAAACGUGUAUUUGUGUGAAAAUCUCAGUUCAGUCCUCAAGUUUUGAACUGUCUCAAUUGGGUCAUCAUUUUUGUAAAAUUGCACACAUUUUAUCCUUAACUAAUCUCACUGUGCAAUAGUUAUCUUCUACUAUCAGUUGAAUAAAUAGUUUAAAGGAUGGUGAUGAACCUAGGUUACCAAGUUGGUUCAUUUGCAUAAAAGGCUGUGAGACUGAUUGCACUGGUUACGCGAGUUUUUCGAUGACUUUAUUUUUUGAGCCGACGAGAUAAUAUGUGUAAAAUCCCUAAUUCAAAUAAACUAAAUAAUAAGCAUUGUGCCACGUGAAAACACUACUUAUUUUAAAAAAUAAUUCAUAUAAUUAAAUAAUACACGUCAGCAUGUCCUCUGGCUACCACGUCAGCUAAACUUAACGUCGUUUGAGAUCAGUUAACGAUUGGUAAGAUGUGUGCAUUCUUACAAAAAUUAUGACCCAAUUGAGACAAUUCAAAACUUGAGGACCGAACUGAGAUUUUCACACAAAUACGAGGACCAAAAAGAGAUUAAGUCAACACGUCAGCAUACCACAUCAGCUAAACUUAACGCCGUUUGAGAUCAGUUAAUGGUUGGGAUAAAAUGUGUGCAUUUUACAAAAAUUAUGACCUAAUUGAGAUAAUUGAAAACUUGAGGACUGAACUGAGACUUUUACACAAAUACAAGAACCAAAGAAUGUAUUAAGUCUUGUUUUAAUUAGCCACUAUAUUAAAAACAAACAAUGAUAAAACAAAUAAAAUUCAUAAUAGCAAUAAAAGAAACUGCAAAUCCAUAAUAUAUAAAUUUAUCAGUAACUUCAAAUUAUUUAAACCUAAUAUUAAUUUAAAAACUUAGUAAGUACUAAUUAGAAACCAUUUCCUACGAGAUUAUUCAUGCCAC
rnacentral:lncRNA from 1 species